rnacentral:rRNA from 1 species
GACGAACGCUGGCGGCGUGCUUAACACAUGCAAGUCGAACGCUGAAGCUCAGCUUUUGUUGGGUGGAUGAGUGGCGAACGGGUGAGUAACACGUGAGUAACCUGCCCCCUUCUUUGGGAUAACGCCCGGAAACGGGUGCUAAUACUGGAUAUUCACUGGUCUUCACAUGGGGGUUGGUGGAAAGGGUUUUUCUGGUGGGGGAUGGGCUCGCGGCCUAUCAGCUUGUUGGUGGGGUGAUGGCCUACCAAGGCUUUGACGGGUAGCCGGCCUGAGGGGGUGACCGGUCACAUUGGGACUGAGAUACGGCCCAGACUCCUACGGGAGGCAGCAGUGGGGAAUAUUGCACAAGGGGCGCAAGCCUGAUGCAGCGACGCCGCGUGAGGGAUGGAGGCCUUCGGGUUGGGAACCUCUUUCGCUCAUGGUCAAGCCGCAACAAUGGUUGUGGUGAGGGUAGUGGGUAAAGAAGCGCCGGCUAACUACGUG